rnacentral:lncRNA from 10 species
CUCAGAAAAGGAGAUGCUAUGAUCCAUCUUGAAAACGCCCAUGAGUCAAUUCUAAACAACCUUGAAAGAUUUAGGACAUCAAAUAUUUUGAAUAGACAUUAUUUUUUUUCUCAUUUAUCUCAGGCUUUAUUUUUUAAAUACUAAUACUUAAUUUUUUCAGAGCAAUUUUAGGCUCACAGCAAAAUUAAGAGAAAGGUACAGAGAUUUCCCAUAUAUAUCCCCUGUCCCCCAAUAUACACAGAGCCGCCUCCAUGUAAGAAGUGCCUUUUGCCUCCUGCCAUGAUUCUGAGGCCUCCCUAGCUAUGUGGAAAUGUAAGAGGAGUUACUAGCUUGCUUUUGAUUUUACAGUCUUAUAGGUGGAAGGGACUUAAUGCUUCAGAGUGCAAGCAGCAAAAGAGCUCAAGCAAGGGAAAAACAAAUAACAUGUCAUAGAUGACUAGGCUUAGUAGCAGUUUUAUUUUUUAUAGAUAUAUUUAAAUAAUUUAAUUUAUAUUCAUAAAAUUAAAAUUAAAAUUCCAGCUCCAUUUAAAUAAUUGAUUGAACUCUUUGAUAUUCAUUCAUUAUAACUUGAAUUUUCUCAUUUAAUUUCAAUAGAUCUUUUAAAAAUAUUUCAUUAGAAAAAUAAGCUUUUGGACACAUGAAAGGAUUUUAUAUUUUAAUGUUUACAUUUAUUUUAAUUUAUAUUUUUAAAUAGAAUUCAAAUGCAUUCAAUUUUUUAAUACUCCAAAUAAAAUUAAAUUUAUUUUGUCAUUACUUAGAUCAUUGAAAUUGAGAACAAGCUAAAAUUAUAAUAGAAAAUAUAAAAUGCAGUUCAGAAAAGUAAAAACGUUAAAAUUUUAAAAAUAGAAAUUUUGUUGUAGUAAAGGAAUAUUUGUCAAGUAGGAGGGUAAGAUAUACUUUAUAUAAUAGUAUGUUCACUUGAUUUACACUCAAGUAUUUAGACCUUUUGUACGUGAAUAUUCUUAUUCUGGGGUCCAAAUAUGUUGCAGGCAGGACUGUUUAUGUACCCUAAAAAAAGAGAAAUAUGUAGAAAAAAAUUCUUUAAUAUGCAAAGCUGUAUCUCUAAGACCCUAAGCCACUGUGCCAUGUGAAUUUUGCCACUUUGUCACUGGAAAGCUUGGUACUAUAAUUGAAACAGCUGUAUCUAUUGGUGUCUAUGUUAUAAGACAUCUCCCACCCAGCCACAUGCCCAAGGAAGAUCGCUGGGCUCUAAAAGGGGAAGGUGUUUUCUUACUGACUGAAGAGUGAAGUGAGCACAUAGAUCAGGAGGCAGAAGUCCACCCAUGGCAACUCAGAGAUAAACACUCCGGUCAUUUGAAGUCAAGGGCAAGUUGUGCAUGCCAAACAAAGCACCAAUAGCUGCUCUCCAGGCCUAAGACACCAAGAGUGCUGACAUCUAUGAGGGCACCAGUGGCAACAAGAGCACAGGGACUGUGGCCUCCCAGACAGUGACUACUACUGCAUACACGGGUCCCUCCCCUCUUCUGUCUUCUGGAGGAUUACCUGAGUGACACAGCCACCAUGACAAAUCAGAUCCUGCUCCUCACAAGAAGGGGCUGCUGAUCCAUUAGACACAAGAACUACAACUGUGCAAGUCACCUUACCCAAGUGUAUUAGUCUGUUCUCUAUGCCGCUAAUAAAGACAUACCAGAAACUGAGUAAUUUAUAAUGAAAAAGAGGUUUAAUGGACUGGGUGUGCUGCCAUAUUUUGAUUUAAAUUUUACAGAGUAGAGUACAAUUUGCUAUGAAUAAGAGGUGAGGAAAAUAAUUUAUCUGAAUCCAAAGAAAGACUGUCUGUUCACCAGAACACACAAAAAUUUUGUCUUGUGAGUAUAUAAAAGGAUGAGUUCAAAGAAGUCAAUAGGUCUACUCAAAAUGGACACCACUGGGGCAAACUAGUGAGAAGUGUGGAAACAGAGAAGACUUUAAUGGACACUGUCAAGCACUGCUAUACUGUGAUGGGAAAUGCAAAGUAAUUGUGGCUUACUUGUUAUGCUGUUCUGAGACUUUCAAUCUCUUCCAGUGUUGCUGUCAAAUCUGU